UCAGGUCACAUUUAGAUUGGCUGAAUUGUAGAGCUUUGUAAUCUGGGUAAAUGUAUUUAAGACCAUAGCAUAGUGUGCAGCAUUCUUUUAUCGGUCAGGUUAAUCAAGGAUCAAAAACACAUUUGUUGUUCAUUCAUUUGCUGUUUGGAAUUCUGAUUCAUUUCAGGAGGAUAAUUGGCUUGAAAGAAGAAAGAAGAACCUUGAAAGAAGGGAGACAAAUCUGAAAACCUGAUCAUUUUAGAAGACCUGAGUCAUAUCCUUGCAAUUUAAAAUUGAACAUGGCAUUGGCAGGAAAAGCAGCAGCAGGGGAAGAACCGAGGGGAACUGUACUAUCACCACUAACAUUAACAUUGACAGUUGUAACAGUUGUAGUAGUAGUAGUAGGUUAUGCAUUUAUGUUAACAGUAGCUGAAGUAGUAGUAGGAGCAGCAGCAGGAGCAGCAGCUGGAGUAUGCAUUUUACAAUUACUGUGGGAAGAAGAAGAAAGAAAAGGACCAGCAGCAGUAGUAGUAACAGCAGUAGCAGGAGGUGUAGCAGGAGCAGCAGCAGCAAAGUUGCGAUCAAUGGUAGGAGCAUACUCGCUAACCGGAUCAGCAAUAGUUGGAGCGAUAGCAGGAGCUGCAAUAGUAGCAAUAGCAAGAAAACUGUUACAAUGUGUUAUAAAUAAAAUACAGUGGUUAAAAGAUAACUUGAAGCCAUUGGUAGUACGCCUAAGAACCCAAGUGGAAAAAUAUAUAAAAAAGUUGGUAACAGAUAUAAUAAAGCGGGUACUAGCCAAUGAAGUCGCCAAAAUAAUACUGAACAAAUUAGCAUCAAUGGGAGGAUCAGGAUUAAUAGCAGCAGCAACAGCAUUAGGAUUAGCAGCAUCAGUAGCAGGAUUAGGGUUAUUUGGAGGAUUACUGGGACUCGCGUUAGUACUUGCAGUAGGAACAGCAAUUUUUAGAUCACAAGGACAAUCACAAGGACAAUCACAAUCAACAGAUGUGGUGUUUCCAAUUGCUCUUUUUUUGCUUUUUGUUUUAAUUUGUUUUCUUGUUUCCUCAGUGGGUGUGUUGCGAUUUUGCUGUUUGUUGUUUCUCUCUCUUUUCCUAUGGUUUCUGCUGCGCUACUGCUCUGACAGGAACUGAUCAUAUUCACCAAGAAGGCCAGCAUAAAAUCCAGCUGAUGCCUCAGAAAAAAAAGAAAAAGAAAAAGAUGACAGGGAUGCUUUUCUCCAUGUAAUCUCAGUCUUUAUGAUACUUUACAGUCUUUAGCCACUGCCUACAAUUCUCUGGAUCCUUCUCUGUAAACCGAAAAUAACUCAGUCCCACUAUACUUUUACUCUUUGAAUUCUUCUACCCGGGAACAAUACAAGUUGACGCCAUUGUGAAUAAAAGUUUACUAAGAAGUAUUUCCUUUCUUAUUCUUCUUUUAAGGAAUAUUGGUGGUUGGCAGUGAACUGGUGCAUUACCACCACCUUCUGGUAUGAAGUGUGGACCAGAAUGUCUGUAAUCUACAAUAUAUAAAACAACAUCAACAAAAAUUAUGUCCUAACCCUAAAUGAGACAUUAUUAUCUUUUUGACUCCUUUCACAGAAGAUCUGUUAAAUCAAAGUGUACUUUUAGUUCUCCCAAGUUUUGGGUCAAAUGUCUUUUUUCUCUUUCAUAUUUCCGACAAUAUAGCAUAACAUGUUCUAUACCAUGUCUUCCUGCCUACAGAAAUCGCAUUUCCCUGUGGUAUGUUUACCUAUUUUAAACAGUGAUCCAUUUAGUCCAGUGUGUCCAAACCUAAGUCUCAAUAUUACUAUCUUGUCCUAACUAUUCCUUCCUCAUACCUCAUUUCUUCCACUUUCCUUUGGAUCCUGUGAAACCAUUGCCCCUUUUUCGCUUCUUCCCUUUCCCACCUUUCCUUCGAUCUCUUUUUGAUAAUGCUCUUGACUUCUGCCCUGCUGAUGCUAACUAUCAAAUCAUUGUUACUACUUUUAGUGACUUCCUUUGCUACCUUAUCUGACAUUUCAUUUCCUUUGACCCCAAUGUGUACUGGUACCCACAAAAAUAAUACUGUAAGCCCCAUCAUUUGUAUUCUGUAUGUUUCUUGCAUCUCUAUCAAAAUGUUUGGUGUGUUUCUGAAUGCACUGUAAACUGAUUAAUGAAGAGCUUGAGCCUGAACAAUGAUUGCUUUUAGUGGUCUUAGAUCCUAUAAUAUAAUAGCAAUAUUGCAAACAUUUCUCCUGUGAAAACUGUUCAUCCCUCAGUGAUUUCUGAAAUAUGAAAUUCUGCAACAAUAAACGCUGAAUCACCUGAA